rnacentral:rRNA from 1 species
AGAGUUUGAUCCUGGCUCAGGAUGAACGCUGGCGGCGUGCUUAACACAUGCAAGUCGAACGAAGCACUUUAUUCGAAUUCUUCGGAAGGAAGAUUUAGUGACUGAGUGGCGGACGGGUGAGUAACGCGUGGGCAACCUGCCUCAUACAGGGGGAUAACAGUUGGAAACGACUGCUAAUACCGCAUAAGCGCACAGUACCGCAUGGUACGGUGUGAAAAACUCCGGUGGUAUGAGAUGGGCCCGCGUCUGAUUAGCCAGUUGGCGGGGUAACGGCCCACCAAAGCGACGAUCAGUAGCCGACCUGAGAGGGUGACCGGCCACAUUGGGACUGAGACACGGUCCAAACUCCUACGGGAGGCAGCAGUGGGGAAUAUUGCACAAUGGGGGAAACCCUGAUGCAGCGACGCCGCGUGAGCGAAGAAGUAUUUCGGUAUGUAAAGCUCUAUCAGCAGGGAAGAAGAAUGACAGUACCUGACUAAGAAGCACCGGCUAAAUACGUGCCAGCAGCCGCGGUAAUACGUAUGGUGCAAGCGUUAUCCGGAUUUACUGGGUGUAAAGGGAGCGCAGGCGGUACGGCAAGUCUGAUGUGAAAGCCCGGGGCCCAACCCCGGUACUGCAUUGGAAACUGUCGGACUGGAGUGUCGGAGGGGCAGGCGGAAUUCCUAGUGUAGCGGUGAAAUGCGUAGAUAUUAGGAGGAACACCGGUGGCGAAGGCGGCCUGCUGGACGACAACUGACGCUGAGGCUCGAAAGCGUGGGGAGCAAACAGGAUUAGAUACCCUGGUAGUCCACGCCGUAAAC